UACGUAGGGUGCGAGCGUUAAUCGGAAUUACUGGGCGUAAAGGGUGCGCAGGCGGUCCCGCAAGUCAGGCGUGAAAUCCCCGGGCUUAACCUGGGAAUGGCACUUGAAACUACGGGACUGGAGUAUGGCAGAGGGAGGUGGAAUUCCACGUGUAGCGGUGAAAUGCGUAGAGAUGUGGAGGAACACCGAUGGCGAAGGCAGCCUCCUGGGCCAAUACUGGACGCUCAUGCACCGAAAGCGUGGGGAGCAAACAGG
rnacentral:rRNA from 1 species